rnacentral:rRNA from 1 species
CCUUGACAUACUAAGAACUUUCCAGAGAUGGAUUGGUGCCUUCGGGAACUUAGAUACAGGUGCUGCAUGGCUGUCGUCAGCUCGUGUCGUGAGAUGUUGGGUUAAGUCCCGNAACGAGCGCAACCCUUUUCCUUAUUUGCCAGCGGGUCAUGCCGGGAACUUUAAGGAUACUGCCAGUGACAAACUGGAGGAAGGCGGGGACGACGUCAAGUCAUCAUGGCCCUUACGGCCAGGGCUACACACGUGCUACAAUGGUCGGUACAAAGGGUUGCUACCUCGCGAGAGGAUGCUAAUCUCAAAAAGCCGAUCGUAGUCCGGAUCGCAGUCUGCAACUCGACUGCGUGAAGUCGGAAUCGCUAGUAAUCGCGGAUCAGAAUGUCGCGGUGAAUACGUUCCCGGGCCUUGUACACACCGCCCGUCACACCAUGGGAGUUUGUUGCACCAGAAGUAGGUAGUCUAACCGCAAGGAGGACGCUUACCACGGUGUGGCCGAUGACUGGGGUGAAGUCGUAACAAGGUAAGCGUAGAUGA